rnacentral:rRNA from 1 species
AACGAACGCUGGCGGCAGGCUUAACACAUGCAAGUCGAACGCCCCGCAAGGGGAGUGGCAGACGGGUGAGUAACGCGUGGGAAUCUACCUAGUUCUACGGAACAACAGUUGGAAACGAAUGCUAAUACCGUAUACGCCCUAUGGGGGAAAGAUUUAUCGGAAUUAGAUGAGCCCGCGUAAGAUUAGCUAGUUGGUGAGGUAAUGGCUCACAAAGGCGACGAUCUUUAGCUGGUCUGAGAGGAUGAUCAGCCACACUGGGACUGAGACACGGCCCAGACUCCUACGGGAGGCAGCAGUGGGGAAUAUUGGACAAUGGGCGCAAGCCUGAUCCAGCCAUGCCGCGUGAGUGAUGAAGGCCUUAGGGUUGUAAAGCUCUUUCAGUAGGGAAGAUAAUGACGGUACCUACAGAAGAAGCCCCGGCUAACUUCGUGCCAGCAGCCGCCGCGGUAA